UGUCCAGGGAUGGGAAGCGAACCCACAGUGUUCCGUUUACCGGGCAGAUGCCAUGUCCACUAGACUACGCUGGGC